rnacentral:lncRNA from 1 species
CCAAGGUUAGAUAAACGUGUUGAUGAUUGAAUAGAAAAAAAGAUUGAUUUUUUUAACAGAGAAAAUAGAACAGAAGAGUGAAACUAUGAUGGGGUAUGAUGAAAAUCAAUUACCUCAUAUUUUGGUACCAUUGAUGAUGGAAGAGAAUUGUGAGAGGUAGGAGAAAUGAGAUUGAUUCUGAGAUGAAAAUUGAAGAACAGAACAACUAUGUUGAGAUUGGAGUUUCUCUCUCUUUGUGUUGGAUUUGAUUUUGUCACUAUUUU